AUACUUACCUGGACGGAGUCAACGGUUGAUCCGGAAGGACCGUUACUUAGGCCAAUGGUCCGCAUUGCACUUUGCGGAUUCGCUGGUUUACCAUCUGCCUACGUGGCAGAGUGGACGUCAUAAUUUGUGCCAGAGGGGGCACGCGCAUGCGCGGCCUCUGC